rnacentral:pre_miRNA from 1 species
AGAUGCAUCAUUUGGAGACCUUGUGAAAAUGCAGACUCUGAUUCCCUAGGUCAAGGGCUGAGAUUCUGCAUUUCUUUCAAAAUCCCAGGUGAUGCUGCU